CUUUCAGGGUCACCCAGGCCCAUUCCCUGUCUCAGGCAAUACAGUGUCAGCAUUUCCACACUGAUGCCCAAGAACACUGAUUCACCAGUUGUAUGGUUUGGCAACAACCCAGCCUUGAUUUCCAUCUUGUUGAUGUCUUGCAUUAUGGUAUGCUCCAAAUAACAUCUAGAGAAAACUACAAGAUCCUUCCAUAGAAGACUGGAUCACUCAAAUGAGAACAUUCAACACAAUCUGAAAGGGGCUAUUUUACAUCUAAGAAUGCUCUGCUGUCAGAAAGAACACCAGUGUAUCUACUACCUGUAUAUUUUGUACCAAAGUAGUUGCUGAGUCACCAGGAACCCAUGACACCAUGUGUGCUGUAAUAGACUGAGAAGUUAUACAAAAGUCAGUGUACUUGUUCCAUUUUAACAGGUAUGGACUAGUUUAACUGAAAUGGAUUUGUAUCAGCAAAAUAGCCAAUAAGUGUAUA
rnacentral:lncRNA from 1 species